GAGACAGGAGUAGUAUUAGACUCAGAGUGUGAGUACAACCUGUCCACAGGAAACUGGGGAACAUCCUAUUUGGUUGCCUCUCAGUGAGGUGACUAUUUUGUAGGAUCCAUCUUCUAUACAGACUGCUGUCAGGAAUCCUAGCAUAGACUAUUGAGGCAUGAGCCAAAUAUUAGAAAACCCAAUUCUGGCUUGUGUGACCAUGAUAUGUUGGUCUUCUCUGGGGAUGGUCUUCCAGUUUGGCCAUAUAUACUGCAGCUUAUAUACCUCCCCUCUGCUCCCUUGCAGUGGGAUGCUUUCAGCAUGCCUGAACUACACAACUUCCUGCGCAUCCUGCAGCGAGAGGAAGAAGAACACCUCCGCCAGAUCCUGCAGAAGUACUCCCAUUGCCGCCAGAAGAUCCAAGAGGCCCUGCAUGCCUGCCCCCUGGGGUGACCUCUCCUACCUCUGGGUGGCAGGAGGAGAGUAGGCAGUGCCAAGAGCGUGCCGUGUGAGUGUGACAGGGCCCAUGGGGCCUGAGGAAUGAGUGUGCAUGGAAGCCCUCCCCCAUUGGGGGAAUGAGCCCAGAGAAUAGCGAAGAAGCUGGCCCUCUGCAUCCACCAGUGGGUGAAGCAGAGUAUGGCUUUGCAUCUCUUUGCCUUUCGUGUACUGGGUCACGGUGGGCCAGGACUUCCCUGGGGAGCUGCUCCAGGCUUGCAGCAGGGGUGGAGCAGAAAGAAUCUCCUUAAUUCAUGUCUCAGAUGUGAUAAUCUUGGAGACCCUACAAACAGAACAGGAUCAGUUUGCAGGGUUGAGGACCCUCAACCUUGGGGAAGGUUGUGUUUUGGGUCUUGAAUAGAGUUUCUGGAUAACCCUAUCAGAGCCAUGGGUGGGUGCUCAGAAUAAGGCAGGCAUCAAGGUGGAGUCUAGGUUUCCUUCUAGUGCCUUCUGACUCCUCAUACACCCUGAGGUCAGGGAGUGCUGGUAUACAGUACAGCAACAGUGCCUCAGUGCCUCCUCCAAAGAGGAUAUCCCUGGGUCAGCCCAGGGUCUGUGAAUGUGGGCACUCUGCCAGCCCCAUUCCUUGUUUGCCAGGCAAAGCCAGGGUCUGUCUCUCAGAUAUUUUUGAUGAAGUGUGUGAAUGUAUGUAGUCCGUUUUGUGGCCUCAAAUGAAUGCCUCCUGUGGGAAAAGGGAUGGGGGUGACAGUCAUCAUCAGGGCCUGAGGCCUGAGAGAAUUGGCUGAAUAAAGAUUUUAAGAAUCCUGCUUUUG
rnacentral:lncRNA from 1 species